AUGCCGAAGUCAUCGCCGCGGGCGCGGCCGCGGCACCACCACGCGCCGCCGGGCCUCUGCGCCCUGCCCGCCUUCUCCUACAACGCCCACCGCGGCCUCGUCCUCGGGCUCACCUUCCUCGCCUACGCCCUCUACCACGCCUCCCGCAAGCCACCCAGCAUCGUGAAGCGCGCGCUCUCCAAGUCGUGGCCGCCCUUCCACGACCCCGCCCUCCUCGGCGAGACCGACGUCGCGUUCCUCGCCUUCUACUCCCUCGGCAUGUUCGGCGCCGGCCACCUCGGCGAUCGCCUCGAUCUCCGCCUCUUCCUCGCCGCCGGAAUGGUCGGGAGCGGCGCCGCCGUCGCCUUCUUCGGCGCCGGGUACUUCCUCUCCCUGCACUCCCUCGCGUUCUACGUCUUCGCCCAGGCAAUCGCGGGCCUGCUGCAGUCCACCGGCUGGCCCUCGGUCGUCGCCGUCGUCGGCAAUUGGUUCGGCGGCCGGAGGCGCGGCCUCAUAAUGGGCAUAUGGAACGCGCACACCUCCGUCGGGAACAUCAGCGGCUCGAUCAUCGCCGCCGCCGUGCUGCGAUACGGGUGGGGCUGGUCGUUUGUGGUCCCCGGCGGGCUCAUGGCGCUCGGUGGCGUUCUCGUGUUUUUCUUCCUAGCGCCUUACCCGGAGGACGUUGGCUUCGCUUCGUGGCCCCCCAAGCAGGCCAGUGGAGCGAGCACCGACGAGGAGGACAGCAGCACCAGCACGGCCGGGGAAGAGGACAGGAGGGAUGCCGUAGGGAUUUUGAAGGCAUUUUCUAUCCCGGGGGUGCUCACCUUCGCGACCUGCCUCUUCUUUGCGAAGCUGGUCGCCUACACCUUCUUGUACUGGCUCCCCUUCUACUUGACCCAAACUGCUAUUGGAGGCGAGUACAUGUCGGUCACGGAUGCUGGUUAUCUAUCAGUUCUGUUCGAUGUAGGAGGAAUCGUUGGUGGAAUUCUUGCUGGGUUCAUGUCUGAUCAGCUCGAUGCUAGGGCCACUACUGCAGCAAUGUUUAUGUAUCUGGCGAUUCCAUCUCUUUACGCCUUUCAUGCAUAUGGCAGUACUUCAAAAGUGACAAACAUUGCCCUGAUGAUGAUCAGUGGCUUGUUUGUCAAUGGACCUUAUGCUCUGAUAACAACUGCAGUGUCUGCUGAUCUGGGGACUCACAAAUCUCUCAAAGGAGAUUCCCGUGCGUUGGCCACUGUCACAGCAAUCAUAGACGGGACAGGAUCGCUUGGUGCUGCCUUGGGGCCAUUUUUGACGGGCUUCAUCUCAAAAACUGGAUGGGAUUCAGUGUUCACGAUGCUUAUACUUUGUGCAUUGAUUGCCGGUGCGUGUUUAUCAGGUCUUGUGAAAUCAGAGAUUCAGGAGAUUAUUCAAAACUGGAGGAAUCGCUCAGGUAACACGCCGAAUGGAACUGCGGGUAAUGAUAAAGAUGCUCAGCUUGCAUUUAUCUUCAUUAUAGAGAUGGCAAAAUGUAGUGUCUUAUCUGUUACGCUGAUGUUGCCUUCCUCUUUAUCUCAUAGAUCCUGGUGCUCAACCGCUUUUAGAGGGGAGUAG
rnacentral:rRNA from 1 species